CCUACGGGAGGCAGCAGUGGGGAAUAUUGCACAAUGGGGGAAACCCUGAUGCAGCGAUGCCGCGUGGAGGAAGAAGGUUUUCGGAUUGUAAACUCCUUUUAUCAGGGACGAUAAUGACGGUACCCCAAUAGCAAGCCACGGCUAACUACGUGCCAGCAGCCGCGGUAAUACGUAGGUGGCAAGCGUUAUCCGGAAUGACUGGGCGUAAAGGGUGCGUAGGUGGUUUAGUAAGUUGGCGGUGUAAUUCCGGGGCUCAACCUCGGCGCUACCGCCAAAACUAUUAGACUAGAGUGCAGGAGGGGUAAGUGGAAUGCCUAGUGUAGCGGGGGAAGGCGUAGAUAUUAGGAGGAACAUCAGGGGCGAAGGCGACUUACUGGACUGUAACUGACACUGAGGCACGAAAGCGUGGGGAGCAAACAGGAUUAGAUACCCUUGUAGUC
rnacentral:rRNA from 1 species